GACGGACGCUGGCGGCGUGCUUAACACAUGCAAGUCGAACGGAAAGGCCCCAGCUUGCUGGGGUACUCGAGUGGCGAACGGGUGAGUAACACGUGGGUGAUCUGCCCUGCACUCUGGGAUAAGCCUGGGAAACUGGGUCUAAUACCGGAUAGGACCGUGCUUUAGUGUGUGCGGUGGAAAGUUUUUCGGUGCAGGAUGAGCCCGCGGCCUAUCAGCUUGUUGGUGGGGUAAUGGCCUACCAGGGCGGCGACGGGUAGCCGGCCUGAGAGGGUGUACGGCCACAUUGGGACGGAGACACGGCCCAGACUCCUACGGGAGGCAGCAGUGGGGAAUAUUGCACAAUGGGCGCAAGCCUGAUGCAGCGACGCCGCGUGGGGAUGACGGCCUUCGGGUUGUAAACCCCUUUCGGCAGGGACGAAGCUUUUGUGACGGUACCUGCAUAAGAAGCACCGGCUAACUACGUG
rnacentral:rRNA from 1 species